UGGGGAAUUUUGGACAAUGGGCGAAAGCCUGAUCCAGCAAUGCCGCGUGUGUGAAGAAGGCCUUCGGGUUGUAAAGCACUUUUGUCCGGAAAGAAAUCCUUGGCUCUAAUACAGUCGGGGGAUGACGGUACCGGAAGAAUAAGCACCGGCUAACUACGUGCCAGCAGCCGCGGUAAUACGUAGGGUGCAAGCGUUAAUCGGAAUUACUGGGCGUAAAGCGUGCGCAGGCGGUUUGCUAAGACCGAUGUGAAAUCCCCGGGCUCAACCUGGGAACUGCAUUGGUGACUGGCAGGCUAGAGUAUGGCAGAGGGGGGUAGAAUUCCACGUGUAGCAGUGAAAUGCGUAGAGAUGUGGAGGAAUACCGAUGGCGAAGGCAGCCCCCUGGGCCAAUACUGACGCUCAUGCACGAAAGCGUGGGGAGCAAACAGGAUUAGAUACCCUGGUAGUCCACGCCCUAAACGAUGUCAACUAGUUGUUGGGGAUUCAUUCCUUAGUAACGUAGCUAACGCGUGAAGUUGACCGCCUGGGGAGUACGGUCGCAAGAUUAAAACUCAAAGGAAUUGACGGGGUCAUAGCU
rnacentral:rRNA from 1 species